CCGAGUUUACAACUCCCAAACCCAUGUGAACAUACCUACUGUUGCUUCGGCGGGAUUGCCCCGGGCGCCUCGUGUGCCCCGGAUCAGGCGCCCGCCUAGGAAACUUAAUUCUUGUUUUAUUUUGGAAUCUUCUGAGUAGUUUUUACAAAUAAAUAAAAACUUUCAACAACGGAUCUCUUGGUUCUGGCAUCGAUGAAGAACGCAGCGAAAUGCGAUAAGUAAUGUGAAUUGCAGAAUUCAGUGAAUCAUCGAAUCUUUGAACGCACAUUGCGCCCGCCAGUAUUCUGGCGGGCAUGCCUGUCUGAGCGUCAUUUCAACCCUCAUGCCCCUAGGGCGUGGUGUUGGGGAUCGGCCAAAGCCCGCGAGGGACGGCCGGCCCCUAAAUCUAGUGGCGGACCCGUCGUGGCCUCCUCUGCGAAGUAGUGAUAUUCCGCAUCGGAGAGCGACGAGCCCCUGCCGUUAAACCCCCAACUUUCCAAGGUUGACCUCAGAUCAGGUAGGAAUACCCGCUGAACUUAAGC
rnacentral:rRNA from 1 species